GGUUCCUACGGGACGCAGCAGUGGGGAAUAUUGCACAAUGGGCGCAAGCCUGAUGCAGCGACGCCGCGUGCGGGAUGGAGGCCUUCGGGUUGUGAACCGCUUUCAGCAGGGACGAGGCCCUCACGGUGACGGUACCUGCAGAAGAAGCCCCGGCUAACUACGUGCCAGCAGCCGCGGUAAUACGUAGGGGGCGAGCGUUAUCCGGAUUCAUUGGGCGUAAAGCGCGCGUAGGCGGCCUGUUAGGUCGGGGGUCAAAUACCGGGGCUCAACCCCGGUCCGCCCCCGAUACCGGCAGGCUUGAGUCU
rnacentral:rRNA from 1 species